CGGCAAGACAGAGUAUGGGGGCGGAGCUGGCGGUGGGACUGUUUCACUAUAGUGUCCGUGGGCUCUACGGUGGUUAUGCAGAGCUGUCCCCUAAAAAUAAUAUAUCAAAUCACAUUUAUACGGUUUUUCGCCUGUAUGUCUGCGCAUGUGAACGAUGAGGUUCGAGGAAUUGGAGAAGCCACGGCCGCAGUACAGGCAAAGACAGGAGCUGGUAGUCGCACCGGUCCCACCGGAUUCAUGUACACGCAUGUGUGUUCUGAAAUUAAUACACUUUUAUGAGUAUAAAUAAACAACUAAAAUGUU